ensembl:snRNA U6 U6 spliceosomal RNA
UUGCUUCUUUUGGCAGCACAUAUACUAAAAUUGGAAAGAUACUAAGAAGAGUACCAUGGGCCCUGUGCAAGGAUGACAGGCAAAUUCAUAAAGCAUUCCAUAUAAAA